GCAUUCACUUCAGCAGCACAAACACUAAAAUUCAAGUUAUACAGAAAAUAUUAGCAUGGGCCCUGUGCAAGGAUGAUACAUAGAUCCAUCAAGCAUUCCAUGCUUUA
ensembl:snRNA U6 U6 spliceosomal RNA